rnacentral:rRNA from 1 species
AGAGUUGAUCCUGGCUCAGAACGAACGCUGGCGGCGUGGAUUAGGCAUGCAAGUCGAACGACGAACUAUCGUGAUUUUCGGGGCAACUUGAGGAUUACGGUGGGGAAAGUGGCGAACUGGUGAGUAACACGUGGGUAACCUGCCCUGGAGCGGGGGACAACCUCGGGAAACCGGGGCUAAUACCGCAUACGUUUACCUGAACAAAAGUUCAGAUAAAGAAAGAUGGAGGAAGGGAAACUGACCUUUGUCACUCCGGGAUGGGCCCGCGCCCCAUCAGCUAGUUGGCGAGGUAACGGCUCACCAAGGCGACGACGGGUAGCUGGCCUGAGAGGGUGGCCAGCCACACCGGGACUGAGAUACGGCCCGGACUCCUACGGGAGGCAGCAGUCUAGAGGCUUCGGCAAUGGACGAAAGUCUGACCGAGCGACGCCGCGUGCGGGAUGAAGCCCUUCGGGGUGUAAACCGCUGUCAGUGGGGAAGAAUGCCUGGAAGGUUCGUACUUUCCGGGAGGGACGGUACCCGCAGAGGAAGCCCCGGCUAACUCCGUGCCAGCAGCCGCGGUAACACGGAGGGGGCAAGCGUUGUUCGGAUUUACUGGGCGUAAAGGGCGCGUAGGCGGCCGUAUAAGUCCAGUGUUAAAUUCCUACCGCUUAACGGAGGACAUGCACUGGAUACUAUUCGGCUUGAGGACGGUAGAGGCAAACGGAAUUCCAGGUGUAGCGGUGGAAUGUUUAGAUAUCUGGAAGAACACCGGUGGCGAAGGCGGUUUGCUGGGCCGUCCCUGACGCUGAGGCGCGAAAGCGUGGGGAGCAAACAGGAUUAGAUACCCUGGUAGUCCACGCUGUAAACGGUGCACACUAGGUGUAGGGGGUACCGACCCCCUCUGUGCCGCAGGUAACCCAUUAAGUGUGCCGCCUGGGGAGUACGUCCGCAAGGGUGAAACUCAAAGGAAUUGACGG